UACACUCCUACGGGAGGCAGCAGUGGGGAAUAUUGGACAAUGGGCGCAAGCCUGAUCCAGCCAUGCCGCGUGAGUGAUGAAGGCCCUAGGGUUGUAAAGCUCUUUCACCGGUGAAGAUAAUGACGGUAACCGGAGAAGAAGCCCCGGCUAACUUCGUGCCAGCAGCCGCGGUAAUACGAAGGGGGCUAGCGUUGUUCGGAUUUACUGGGCGUAAAGCGCACGUAGGCGGACUAUUAAGUCAGGGGUGAAAUCCCGGGGCUCAACCCCGGAACUGCCUUUGAUACUGGUAGUCUUGAGUUCGAGAGAGGUGAGUGGAAUUCCGAGUGUAGAGGUGAAAUUCGUAGAUAUUCGGAGGAACACCAGUGGCGAAGGCGGCUCACUGGCUCGAUACUGACGCUGAGGUGCGAAAGCGUGGGGAGCAAACAGGAUUAGAAACCCGGUAGUCCCAUGA
rnacentral:rRNA from 1 species